rnacentral:rRNA from 1 species
UACAGAGGGUGCGAGCGUUAAUCGGAAUUACUGGGCGUAAAGGGCGCGUAGGCGGUGUAUUAAGUUAGAUGUGAAAUCCCUGGGCUUAACCUAGGAACUGCAUCUAAUACUGGUACGCUAGAGUGCGGUAGAGGAUAGUGGAAUUUCCGGUGUAGCGGUGAAAUGCGCAGAUAUCGGGAAGAACACCCGUGGCGAAGGCGGCACUCUGGGACGGUACUGACGCUGAGACGCGAAAGCGUGGGGAGCGAACAGG